GUGACAGCACACAACAUUCAUAACUGACACACCAAAGACAGGAGGCUUUACACACUUCUUCAGGCAGAACUAGGGCAGAACUGAUGAGAACUUUAACUGGGGACAACAUCUUGGGGCUUUCCAACGCAGUAGCAGCAGAAACAACAACAACAGCGAUACAAGCAUGAUAAAAUCAUCAUCAAUAACCAGAGGAGUCCCAUCAAAGUAUUACUAAGGAGAAUAAAUCCCUUUUCUCCCGCAUAAGCCAGUAUUUCCCGCCAAAACCGGAAGUGUGAUUCUUAAGCAUAUAAAGCAUAUAUACUGAACUAAAAUAUAAACGCAACAUGUAAAGUGUUGGU